UACGAAGGGGGCUAGCGUUGCUCGGAAUCACUGGGCGUAAAGGGUGCGUAGGCGGGUCUUUAAGUCAGGGUGAAAUCCUGGAGCUCAACUCCAGAACUGCCUUUGAUACUGAGGAUCUUGAGUUCGGGAGAGGUGAGUGGAACUGCGAGUGUAGAGGUGAAAUUCGUAGAUAUUCGCAAGAACACCAGUGGCGAAGGCGGCUCACUGGCCCGAUACUGACGCUGAGGCACGAAAGCGUGGGAGCAACAGG
rnacentral:rRNA from 1 species